AUGCAAGUCGAGCGGGGUUAUAAGAGAAGCUUGCUUUUCUAAUAACCUAGCGGCGGAUGGGUGAGUAACACGUGGGUAACCUGCCUAAAAGACUGGGAUAACACCGGGAAACCGGUGCUAAUACCGGAUAAUCUACUAAGUCAUAGGACUAGGUAGUAAAAGGUGGCGCAAGCUACCACUUUUAGAUGGGCCCGCGUCGCAUUAGCUAGUUGGUGGGGUAAUGGCCUACCAAGGCAACGAUGCGUAGCCGACCUGAGAGGGUGAUCGGCCACACUGGGACUGAGACACGGCCCAGACUCCUACGGGAGGCAGCAGUAGGGAAUCUUCCGCAAUGGACGAAAGUCUGACGGAGCAACGCCGCGUGAGUGAUGAAUGUUUUCGGAUUGUAAAACUCUGUCAUUAGGGAAGAAUAGGUGUAGUUUAAAUAAGGCUACACUGUGACGGUACCUAAAGAGGAAGCCCCGGCUAACUACGUGCCAGCAGCCGCGGUAAUACGUAGGGGGCAAGCGUUGUCCGGAAUUAUUGGGCGUAAAGCGCGCGCAGGCGGUUUUAUAAGUCUGGUGUGAAAGCCCACGGCUCAACCGUGGAGGGUCACUGGAAACUGUAAGACUUGAGUA
rnacentral:rRNA from 1 species